rnacentral:rRNA from 1 species
CUUCAUCCGGGGCGCCGCGGCCCUCAGCACCGGUGGAAACGCCGUGUUGCGGGGGCCGCGCGUGCACUCGUCCAAACCAAACCCCUGUGAACCUUACGGGAUGGCCUGGGUUAGCGCCCGGUGCCGUUCCGCUUUAUACAAGCCCUUAUCGAAGAAUGAACUGAAGGCGGUCUGACCGCUGGAUAACAAACUGAAACAACUUUCAACAACGGAUCUCUUGGCUCUCGCAUCGAUGAAGAACGCAGCGAAAUGCGAUAAGUAAUGUGAAUUGCAGAAUUCAGUGAAUCAUCGAAUCUUUGAACGCACCUUGCGCCCUCUGGUAUUCCGGAGGGCAUGCCUGUUUGAGUGUCUUGAUAUCAUCAAACCCCUCGGGUUCGCGCCCGUUGCGGUUUGGAGUUGGGGGCUUGCUGCCGCAAGGCGGCUCCCCUUAAAAUCAUCGGUUUGGCCCGCAUCAUGCGGCUUGCACCUUUGGCGUUGUAUUUUCCUCGCCUUCAAUUGGUCUCGCUCGCUUCCGCGCCUCACCUCGACUUGCCCUUUGGGUGGCGGUCACUUCUUGACAAUCUGGCCUCAAAUCAGGUAGGACUACCCGCUGAACUUAA